GUGAGCUCGAUGAGUAGGGCGGGACACGUGGUAUCCUGUCUGAAUAUGGGGGGACCAUCCUCCAAGGCUAAAUACUCCUGACUGACCGAUAGUGAACCAGUACCGUGAGGGAAAGGCGAAAAGAACCCCGGCGAGGGGAGUGAAAAAGAACCUGAAACCGUGUACGUACAAGCAGUGGGAGCCUCUUAAUGGGGUGACUGCGUACCUUUUGUAUAAUGGGUCAGCGACUUAUAUUCUGUAGCAAGGUUAACCGAAUAGGGGAGCCGAAGGGAAACCGAGUCUUAACUGGGCGUUAAGUUGCAGGGUAUAGACCCGAAACCCGGUGAUCUAGCCAUGGGCAGGUUGAAGGUUGGGUAACACUAACUGGAGGACCGAACCGACUAAUGUUGAAAAAUUAGCGGAUGACUUGUGGCUGGGGGUGAAAGGCCAAUCAAACCGGGAGAUAGCUGGUUCUCCCCGAAAGCUAUUUAGGUAGCGCCUCGUGAAUUCAUCUCCGGGGGUAGAGCACUGUUUCGGCAAGGGGGUCAUCCCGACUUACCAACCCGAUGCAAACUGCGAAUACCGGAGAAUGUUAUCACGGGAGACACACGGCGGGUGCUAACGUCCGUCGUGAAGAGGGAAACAACCCAGACCGCCAGCUAAGGUCCCAAAGUCAUGGUUAAGUGGGAAACGAUGUGGGAAGGCCCAGACAGCCAGGAUGUUGGCUUAGAAGCAGCCAUCAUUUAAAGAAAGCGUAAUAGCUCACUGGUCGAGUCGGCCUGCGCGGAAGAUGUAACGGGGCUAAACCAUGCACCGAAGCUGCGGCAGCGACACUAUGUGUUGUUGGGUAGGGGAGCGUUCUGUAAGCCUGUGAAGGUGGCCUGUGAGGGUUGCUGGAGGUAUCAGAAGUGCGAAUGCUGACAUAAGUAACGAUAAAGCGGGUGAAAAGCCCGCUCGCCGGAAGACCAAGGGUUCCUGUCCAACGUUAAUCGGGGCAGGGUGAGUCGACCCCUAAGGCGAGGCCGAAAGGCGUAGUCGAUGGGAAACAGGUUAAUAUUCCUGUACUUGGUGUUACUGCGAAGGGGGGACGGAGAAGGCUAUGUUGGCCGGGCGACGGUUGUCCCGGUUUAAGCGUGUAGGCUGGUUUUCCAGGCAAAUCCGGAAAACCAAGGCUGAGGCGUGAUGACGAGGCACUACGGUGCUGAAGCGACAAAUGCCCUGCUUCCAGGAAAAGCCUCUAAGCAUCAGGUAACAUCAAAUCGUACCCCAAACCGACACAGGUGGUCAGGUAGAGAAUACCAAGGCGCUUGAGAGAACUCGGGUGAAGGAACUAGGCAAAAUGGUGCCGUAACUUCGGGAGAAGGCACGCUGAUAUGUAGGUGAAGCGACUUGCUCGUGGAGCUGAAAUCAGUCGAAGAUACCAGCUGGCUGCAACUGUUUAUUAAAAACACAGCACUGUGCAAACACGAAAGUGGACGUAUACGGUGUGACGCCUGCCCGGUGCCGGAAGGUUAAUUGAUGGGGUUAGCGGUAACGCGAAGCUCUUGAUCGAAGCCCCGGUAAACGGCGGCCGUAACUAUAACGGUCCUAAGGUAGCGAAAUUCCUUGUCGGGUAAGUUCCGACCUGCACGAAUGGCGUAAUGAUGGCCAGGCUGUCUCCACCCGAGACUCAGUGAAAUUGAACUCGCUGUGAAGAUGCAGUGUACCCGCGGCAAGACGGAAAGACCCCGUGAACCUUUACUAUAGCUUGACACUGAACAUUGAGCCUUGAUGUGUAGGAUAGGUGGGAGGCUUUGAAGUGUGGACGCCAGUCUGCAUGGAGCCGGCCUUGAAAUACCACCCUUUAAUGUUUGAUGUUCUAACGUUGGCCCGUAAUCCGGGUUGCGGACAGUGUCUGGUGGGUAGUUUGACUGGGGCGGUCUCCUCCUAAAGAGUAACGGAGGAGCACGAAGGUUGGCUAAUCCUGGUCGGACAUCAGGAGGUUAGUGCAAUGGCAUAAGCCAGCUUGACUGCGAGCGUGACGGCGCGAGCAGGUGCGAAAGCAGGUCAUAGUGAUCCGGUGGUUCUGAAUGGAAGGGCCAUCGCUCAACGGAUAAAAGGUACUCCGGGGAUAACAGGCUGAUACCGCCCAAGAGUUCAUAUCGACGGCGGUGUUUGGCACCUCGAUGUCGGCUCAUCACAUCCUGGGGCUGAAGUAGGUCCCAAGGGUAUGGCUGUUCGCCAUUUAAAGUGGUACGCGAGCUGGGUUUAGAACGUCGUGAGACAGUUCGGUCCCUAUCUGCCGUGGGCGCUGGAGAACUGAGGGGGGCUGCUCCUAGUACGAGAGGACCGGAGUGGACGCAUCACUGGUGUUCGGGUUGUCAUGCCAAUGGCACUGCCCGGUAGCUAAAUGCGGAAGAGAUAAGUGCUGAAAGCAUCUAAGCACGAAACUUGCCCCGAGAUGAGUUCUCCCUGACUCCUUGAGGGUCCUGAAGGAACGUUGAAGACGACGACGUUGAUAGGCCGGGUGUGUAAGCGCAGCGAUGCGUUGAGCUAACCGGUACUAAUGAACCGUGAGGCUUAACCUUAC
rnacentral:rRNA from 1 species